AAGCCAGCCAUGGCCCACUGGCUUUUUGAAAGACAACAUUUGUUCCUUUUUAAGGACUGCACGUGUUAAACUUGUUUUGACCCUGCACGGGAGAAACUCGGACAGCCCCGAGGGCCGGGCGAGGGGCGUGGGAGGCGGGAGAGGCGCGCUGGGACCGCUGUGCAGAGUGCGAGCGUCCCGGGCUGCGUGGACCAGGUGUUGAGGCCCGUGUGAACUCUCGUUCCCGUGGAGCGGGUGUUGAGGCCCGUGUGAACCCUCGUUCCCGUGGAGCGGGUGUUGAGGUUACUAUGGUGAUCCUAGCCCAUAAUAGUUCGGCCUUUCCCUUUAAAAGGCCGGUGCUUGCCAGUAAUAAACGUCGCCUUGAUCAGACUCUUGUCUUGGCGUCCUUCCUUUCUCUCUGCCCCAUCUCCACCCCGCUGCUCUUUCAGGUUUGAGGCACUGCGGGACAGUGCUCUGCGUCGCCGGUUCGCGACAUUUGACUAACAAGUAAAAUCUGUUAACAGAUGUUUUAAGUAUGAUCUAAAACUUCCCCCAUAGCUAUGUCUUCUGUUUAUUACUAUUUCCUCAGUCACAGUCAGGCUAAUGCAAAUGUUAAUGUAUUCCUAGAAAUUAAUAAUACAACCACAAGCCUGGAAGCCACUUCAAGGAGUCCUAGUCCAGAUUCCUGCCCAGUCUUCCACCAACUCUGUGCAACCAGAGAAGGAAGUGUUAUCUUGAGAAAUCUAGAACGGUGCCUGGCGUUGCUGAAUGAAUGAAGGAGAGGAGAAGGAAUGAACUCUCUAAAUGUCGGGUGUGUGGUGGCUCAUUUUGUCGAUCUCCUCAAUAAUGUCUCUCACGUGGAUUGUUGUAGAGCUUAAGUGAUGCACGCUGGGUAACCACCAACCUAAUUCUUGGAGGAAAAUGCCAUUUCUUUUUCUUGUAGAGAGUGGAAUUCCAAGUGUGUGGCAUCAGCCUUGGAGAAGGCAUUCGGGAAAUCUGAGGGAAAUUGUUUUUUUAUCAAAGGAGAAGCCAUUAGCGGUGUCAGGAAUGUUAGGUGUCUGCCACGUACAGGAGAAACAUGCAUAACAAUGACAUUGCAUGUGCCGUGAAUUGCCUGUCUCACUAGACUCACAGAGGCAAAAGACCUAUUAAUUGUUACUGAAGUUAAAAUCUAACCGCACUGCUACAUGUAUUAUAUGUAAAAACAAGCCUAUCUCCCCUCCUUCCCGCCCUCCCUUCCCUCUUGUAUGUUUAAUGUAGUCUCACUAUGUUGCCUCAGAACUCCUGGCUUAAUGUCCUUUGUAGCUGAGAUUAAAGGCACACAUCAGCU
rnacentral:lncRNA from 1 species